rnacentral:rRNA from 1 species
UAAAACGUAGGAGGCGAGCGUUAUCCGGAAUUACUGGGCGUAAAGGGCGUCUAGGCGGAUGCUCAAGCGUGGUGUGAAAGCUCCUGGCUUAACUGGGAGAGUGCGCCGCGAACUGAGGGUCUAGAGGCCAGGUGAAGAGGGUGGAAUUCCCGGUGGAGUGGUGAAAUGCGUAGAUAUCGGGAGGAACACCAGAGGCGAAAGCGGCCCUCUAGCCUGGACCUGACGCUGAAGCGCGAGAGCGUGGGGAGCAAACGGGAUUAGAUACCCCGGUAGUCCACGCCGUAAACGAUGGUGACUAGGUGUGAGGGGUGAUAGACCCCCCUUGUGCCGUAGCCAACGCGUUAAGUCACCCGCCUGGGGAGUACGGCCGCAAGGCU